AUGGAUUAUGAUGAUACUGAUUUCCAGAGCCGAAAUUUUCAACUAGCUGGUGAAGACAACAGUAAAUCCCCAUCAAGUUUGCGGCCAUUUGCACUGCCGAAACUUGAUACUGACGACCAACUACAGGGCCAUCUCAGAUUUGGCAAUUUAACAGACUCGGAAGGAUUUUUCAGUGUAGGAGGGCACGAUAAUAGUUGGAUUGAGGUGCUGUCCACUGGAAGUAGUGUUGUUGGUUUUAGUUCUAGCGCAGCUGAAUCUUGCUCCAUAUCUAGGAGUAACUAUGUCUGGUCAGAGGCAACAUCCACUGAGUGUGUGGAAAUGUUGUUGAAGUCAGUGGGAGAAAAUGAGAUGACCGGUAACAUGAAUGAUAAUGUGCAUCAGCAGUUAAGUGGCAUGGACAGUCAAAUUGGUCCAUCCAACAUGCAACCCAACUCUAGUGACUCUCCAUCAGAUAGCAUUGUGGUGCCGACUGAGAAUGACCAGUCCCAGGGCACUCGUUCUAGAAUGCCAGAAGAUCCUUUGACAAGUCAACCUCAGUUUGAAGAUAUUGCACCUUUCUCAAUGGUUGAGAAAGCUGAACAUGCCAUGCCUUCAACUUUAUCAGGCAGGAAGUCGAACUAUAUGUUGGAUUCUGUUUCUGAGAAGUGCAUUGUGAGUGAGAAGCUGUCUUCCGCUUCUCAAAACACACCAGAAGGCUGUCCAGCUGUUGACAACUAUUUUAAGGUGGUUCAUGAUGGUGAUUCUUUGGACAAUCUCAACAUACACUCAGCUGGAGUUGAUUCCGAUAAGUUGAGCAACGAAGCCUUCUCGGAGUUAGCUCGAAUUCAGAACAUAUACUCCACCGACUCAUAUCACUUCGAGCAAGGCAAUCAUAUGCACGCAAAUAAACUUGAAGGAGGAAUGCAUGAAUUGCAAAAAUUGACAGAAAGCUCUGAUGGAUUAUUGGAGGCCAUCACAAAUCCGGUUAAGAUGCUGCAAAUGAAUGAUGACACUUGCAAGAGUGCCAGUGAUUCACUUCAACCAUCCCUUUCACAAGUAGAACAUGAGGCAGAAGGCCAUAAAAUUUUAGUGGACGCGCACAAAAAACCUGUCAUUAAGAACUUCAGCAUUGGCGAAGAACCCAGUUCUGCUAAAUCUUGUCAAAACCAGUCGGAUUUGAAUAAUUCUAAUCCUCAUCCCGUCACUCCCUUGUCAACCGAAAGUAGCGAGUUGAUUCAGUCUCCAGAUGGAAAACAGCCUGCCCAUGUCACUGCAGCUCCAGAAGAAACGGAAAGUGAUGGAGUGGAAGAUACAGUUGUUGAUGUCUCAAAACAUGGAGUGCCGGAGCAGCAUCAAGAAUCUGUUGAUAUUCUAAAAAAUGUUGUUAUGGAUGAUACAAAUAUCAGCAAUGACGUUGAAGUGCUAGAGCAGCAUCAAGAUUCUGUUGAUAAUCUACAAAGUGUUGUUUCAGAAGAACAAUCAGGUAGGGAGGAAAUCUCAGUGGUUUCAGGGGAUUUUGAAUGCUUGGUAGAAGCUGGUCAUGAUGGAAAUGAUAGACGUCUUACUGGUACAUCAAAAGAUGAGUUUGAAUCAUCAGGGCAUGUUGCACCUGUCAAUUCUUCAGCUGGUUUAUUUGAUGAGAAUGAGAAUGGUCCAAACGUUUCCUCAGUAAAUCAUGAGGGGCCAGUCAAGGAAGAUGAUACACCUGUUUUAGAAGACGAGUCUGGAACUAAUUCUGGGCCUCAGGAAAAAGAGAUAGCACCUCUAAGCAAUUUAAGCAGCGAUAUAAUUUCUACCACGGUUGCUGAUACAUCCAAUAAAUCAAUGGAUAAACCUGACUGUUCAGGAGGUGUUCCAUCCGAUGGUUCUCCUGCUGGUGUGCUUGAAGGAAAUGAUUCGACGAUUUCCUCAAUAAAUCAUGUGGAUGCAGUUGAUAAAGGUGCUAAUUCUUCUUCAGAAGUUGGAGGCCACAAUGUAGCACCUGUUUCUGAGUCAUCGGCGAAGAAGUCAGCAAUGUCGGUGAACUCUGACAUCAAUUCUAUUUGUAGCAGUGGUACCGUUCCUGUCGCAAAAAAUCCACAGGGCGAAGGGCUGGCUACUUCUUUGGGUAGUUUGACCACGAAUCAAAGUCAGGAUAAUUCAGGUGAUCAUCCAGAUGCUCAUACAGAGAAUUGCCAGGUUGACAGACCAUUACAAUCUGAAGACCAAGAAAUUUCUCAUCCACAGAAAUGCCAGAUUGGUGGAUCUUCUGUACAAUCUGAGCAUCAAGGAAAUUUAGCUACUGCCUCCUCCUUGGAUGUCUCAUCUGGCAAGGGUGCACAAACCAUCAUAGAAACUCCUUCAAAUGCAAAUGACGAUUUAAAUGUGCAUAUAAAAGAUAACGAAGGAAGCUGUAAUGAUGGUACAUGCGGUUCCCCUACAGUGAUUAGUUGCACAGAACCCUGUCUCCAAGAAGGUGGGCAGGAGGGUAUCGCUGUGCUUCAUAGCAACCUAACUGAACAAACCGAGGAUAAAAAAGACCCUACAGCCUCAGCUGGCGCUUCCCCUAGUUCAGAAGAUUGCUCUGCCAGAAAUAUAAAACAUAGUCUUACUUCUGAGGAGACAAAUACAACGGGAGAUGAUCGAAGUUUCUCAUUUGAGGUCGGAGAUCCACCAAAAGUGUCUGAGAAAGUUCAUCGUCCUGCUUGGAGCCCUUUUCCUAGAUCUAAAGCUGCUCUAAGUACCGAGGUAAACUCACGAAUCCCUAAACCUGGGACUCCUGGAAAUGAGUUGAAGCACACCAGUGAAGUGAGUAAGAAUACGCCUGUUCUGGAUACUGGGAAAGAACAACAAUCAGGGAACAAAGUGGUUGAAAGUGUUGGGGUGCUCUCUAGCAGCUCGCAUAUUGGUCAUAGUACUGAAACUAAAAGUGCACCGCUAGAGCAGCCACAACAGCAUCCAACUCCCGAGAGCAGUGCUCUAGCGCACCAACCUUUCACAGAUUUACAACAUGUGCAGCUACGUGCACAGAUAUUUGUUUAUGGUGCUCUUAUUCAAGGAAUACCACCAGCAGAGGCUUACAUGGUGUCAGCUUUUGGAGAACCUGUAGGUGGCGGCAAACCUGCCUGGGAGGCAGUCUGGCGAGUUGCUGUUAAGAUAUUUCAGAAUCAGAAGUCACCCGUAGCUGGCUUGGAAACUCCUACAAGCUCACGUAUAGGCAGCAAUGUGGCUGAAAAAGCCAGUAAGGGUACAGCAGGUAAAACUUCACCAGCUAGCAAAAAAGGUGGCAAAGCUGUGUUGCCAGCACAUACUGCUGUAACUCUGCACUCACCAACUUUCAACAUGUCACCGCUUGGUAGUUCUACAUUGAACCUGCAACGAGGUUCCCAUCUGGAUUUUAGUCAGGCUGUAUCACCAGUAUUCGCAUAUAAUUCACAGACAAGGCAGCCUACUUCUGCUGUUGCAUCCUGGUUUCCUCAGAGCCAUGGUACACGUGCUGCACCUUGGCUGGCUCCACCACAAAACUUAAUAUUUGAUUCAUCAAUGCAACCAACUGUGCCUUCAAGUGAAUCUGCAAAAGGAUCUAGUAAAACUAUAUCCAUUUCACAAGCUAUUACGCCUGGUCUAUUUCUUCCCAGUCAGGCAUCUUCUACUGUUGCUUCUCCAUUAGCAGUUGUACAGGAGGAGAAACAGAAGACACCGGCUUCUAAGCGUAAUAGAGCUGGAGCUGCAUCACCAAAGCCAAGAAAAAGAAAGAAAGCUUCAGCAAGUCAAGAACAGCAACCUGACAUUGCUUCCUCUCAGCUCAAAAUGGACAUUGCAUCAUCCCAGCUCAAAACAGACAUUGCAUCUGUUAUUCCUGCCACUGAGCAGACACCAGGCUUCACCUUAUCUACUCGUUCUCCAAGUAAUGUUCUGGGUAGCCGGCUUGUUCCUAACUCAAGUUUGAUCACAUCUGUGCCUAACUACCUGGGUGGUAAAGGUGGUGAGCAAAGAAUAAUCUUUUCAGAACAGAUCAGUGGUGCAGUGGACCAAUCUAUGGACCAAGCCAAAGGUGCAAGCAUGUACUCUGAGGAGGCACUGAGGCACAGUGAAGGUGUGUGGAACCACUUAUCCACAAACUCAAGGAGCAAAUUACCUGCAGAAGUAGAACAAAAGCUUACUUCAGCAGCUGCUGCUGCUUCUGCAGCAGUUUCUGUUGCGAAGGCUGCUGCAGAAGCUGCUAAAAUGGCGUCGGUGGCUGCAUUGCAGGCAAAAAUGAUGGCAGAAGAAGCCCUUGGCUCUAUGAAAUCUGCUAAUUCCUUGCAGAAGCGUGACACUGGUGAAGUUGAUGUAAAUAAUAUGGCAAGUGUGUCAAGUUUGACGCCCAAAUCAUCAUGGAAAAUAAAGGACAGCACUAAUGCCCCAGGUUCCACCAUUUCGGUGGCACGGGAGGUUGCUAGAAAAAGGGUUGAAGAGGCAUCUGCAGCUGCAAAACGUGCAGAAAACUUAGAUGCUAUACUUAAAGCUGCAGAGCUUGCUGCAGAGGCUGUGUUCAAAGCAGGAACAAUCAUAGGGAUGGGUGAGCCUCUGCCUUUUACUCUAAGUGAGCUGUUGGAAGCUGGUCCCGAUGGCUACUGGAAGUCUGAUAGAGUGAAGAAUAUGAAGACUGGUAACACCAGUGAGAAUGCGGUAACAGAAGAAUUGGAGAUACCUACUAAUAAAUCUGGCAAAAAGCAUGAUAGCAAAGCUAAAUAUGAUCAAGCAAUACAGAACUUGGAGCCAUCUUCCAGUGUCAAAAGUUUGCAGCCAGAUAAGAUGCCCUCAGGGAAUGGGAUUGAAGAUAAUCUCACUGCUGGCCCACUCAAUGGCAACACAACUGAUACAGCACCAAGCAUAAUUUGGAAUGGCAUUGGAAAAGGAUCUCUUGUUGAGGUUUUUGCUGCUGAGGGUGGUUCUAGAGCAGCUUGGUUUUCUGCGAAGGUCCUUGAUAUAAAUGAAGAUAGUGCAUGCAUCCACUAUGAAGCCCACGGUGAAGGUACUGGUCUUUCCAAGGAAUGGGUGUCACUGAAGCAGGAGGGGGAGAAGGCACCUCACAUACGUCUUGCCCAUCCUGCUACUAUAUCUAAUUUGAAAGGUACUAGAAAGCGCCGUAGGGACACAGCAGGAAAUUAUUCUUGGGCUAUUGGUGAUCACGUGGAUGCAUGGAUAAAAAAUAGUUGGCGGGAGGGAGUCAUUUCUCAGAAUGGUGAAUUUGGUGACACAAAGUUCGUUGUGCAAUUUUCAGCUGGUGAUUCCUUAGUCCUUGAUGCUUGGAAUCUUCGUCCAUCACUUGUUUGGCAGGAUGGUGAAUGGACAGAGUGGUCCCGUGCACGAGAGAGGAAAGAUAAAUCAAAUAAGGGUGAUUCUCCAUAUGAGAAACGCCAGCGGACAGCAGUGAACGAUCCUGUGCCUACUGUUGAAGAAGCACGUCCCCCUUCUAAAGACAAGAAGAGCACUAACACUGUAGUGAGCGACCCUGUGCCUACUGUUGGAGAAGCACGUCCCCCUACCAAAGACAAGAAGAGCACUAACACUGUAGUGAGCGACCCUGUGCCCACUGCUGGAGAAGCACGUCCCCCUACCAAAGACAAGAAGAGCACUAACACUGUAGUAAAACCAGAUGAGCCAAAGCCACUGGCUUUAUCUGAUAGGGACGUGCUUUUUAACAUUGGAAAAGGUGCAACUGAGAUUAAAACCACCAGGCGACCUGGACUGCAGAAGGAAGGAACAAAGGUCUUCGGUGUUCCAAAACCUGGAAAGAAGAAGAAGUUUAUGGAUGUAAGCAAACAUUAUGUUGGCGAUCAAUCUGAUAGGAUUUCUGAGGGUAGUGCAUCCACCAGAUAUGCAAAACAUCCAGUGCCACAGGUGCCAAGACCACGGGAAAGUACCCUAAAACUCGAUCAGAGAGCCAAGAGGGCAAGUGACAUGCGAUCCAGAGGACUUAAAUCUGCCAAGCCUCAGACAACAUCAACUAACGGUGUUCCUGGCGAGGAUCCUUUAUCCACUCCUGUCCCAAGCUCUAGUGCUCUUGAAAGUACUUUUGCUUUUGCGGCAAGUACGACAAGCUCUUCCAACCCUGUGAACCCAACUGUAGAAAAGAAUAAUUUGGCUCAUGCCACUGAUCUUAGAACUGAAGAUGCUUCUAUUCUGGAAUCACGUUUACAAGCCACACCAACCAUUCCUGCUGUCAAGAAGAAUCCAAUCGCUGCUAAUCGAGCUAAAAGGAAAUUCGUUCCUUCUGCGGAUAGUAACGUGAACAGGAGGGUGCUGAAAACUCCUGACGUUUCAGCCAAGACUAGCUCAGAUUCUGCUGAACCCCGAAGGUCAAACCGCCGGAUUCAACCAACCUCACGGUUGCUCGAGGGCCUGCAGAGUUCUCUUAUAGCCUCCAAAAUUACUGGCGAAAAACUCCCUAGGACUAAUUUCAGGAGUGCUACUUCUGCCUCAAGAGGAAAAGCCCAUGGCUGA
rnacentral:rRNA from 1 species